AGAGAUGGAUUGGUGCCUUCGGGAACUCUGAGACAGGUGCUGCAUGGCUGUCGUCAGCUCGUGUUGUGAAAUGUUUGGGUUUAAAGUCCCGCAACGAGCGCAACCCUUUAUCCUUUGUUGCCAGCGGUUAGGCCGGGAACUCAAAGGAGACUGCCAGUGAUAAACUGGAGGAAGGUGGGGAUGACGUCAAGUCAUCAUGGCCCUUACGAGUAGGGCUACACACGUGCUACAAUGGCGCAUACAAAGAGAAGCGACCUCGCGAGAGCAAGCGGACCUCAUAAAGUGCGUCGUAGUCCGGAUUGGAGUCUGCAACUCGACUCCAUGAAGUCGGAAUCGCUAGUAAUCGUGGAUCAGAAUGCCACGGUGAAUACGUUCCCGGGCCUUGUACACACCGCCCGUCACACCAUGGGAGUGGGUUGCAAAAGAAGUAGGUAGCUUAACCUUCGGGAGGGCGCUUACCACUUUGUGAUUCAUGACUGGGGUGAAGUCGUAACAAGGUAGGCGUAGUGCU
rnacentral:rRNA from 1 species